UACAGAGGUCCCAAGCGUUGUUCGGAUUUACUGGGCGUAAAGGGUGCGUAGGCGGUCGGGUAAGUCUGAUGUGAAAUCUCAGAGCUCAACUCUGAAACUGCAUUGGAUACUAUUCGGCUUGAGGUCUGGAGGGGGGACUGGAAUUCUCGGUGUAGCAGUGAAAUGCGUAGAUAUCUGGAGGAACACCGGUGGCGAAGGCGGCAUCCUGGACCAAUUCUGACGCUGAGGAGCGAAAGCCAGGGGAGCAAACGGG
rnacentral:rRNA from 1 species